rnacentral:lncRNA from 1 species
UAUUAUGCUUGAAAGUGAGUCCUUUUUUAUUUUAAAGGAAUUAGAGUCACUAGCUUCAUCCAAAGGAAUACGUUCUAUUUUUGUUAAAGGUUAUAACAUAAAUAAUGAAUUUAUUGUUUUUUAGUAUAUACAAUUAUGUGCAUGUAAUAUAUAAAUAUACGUAAACGACUUUGUAAUAAUGAUUGAUUCGAAUUAAAUGAAAAAAAAAGCUACUUAUAUAAAAUUUUUUUUAAAUGUAGACUUAGUUCAACAAUUAAUCGAUGAUAACAAAAUUAAGUGCGAAAAAGUCGGUGCACAAAAUAUUUUCUGGUAAAAUUUUAUUGCAUGAGCAUUUAUUUGCUAUAUAUGAAUAGGUGUACGUUUGUACGUACGUAUUUACACAUUUGCACAAGUACAUAUAUAUACAUAAUGUACUAUUUUGUAAGUGCUAAUAAAUUAUGAUAAAAGCACUUGUAGAUACUUUUCCUUUUUUUUUUUUUUUUUUCAUUACAAUGUUAUAAGGGUGCUAAAAACUGAAGAAUCAUCUAUUUUACAACACAAAUACGACGAAUUAAAAGCUAAAAAAUUGGAAUAUGAAGAAAAGAUAAAGCAGGAAACGGAAGAAUAUAAAAAAUUAUUAGAUACGUUAAAGUACUCAGAUGACGAACUCAAACAUAAAUUAGAAGAAGCAAGGUUGUUAUUGGAACAAUUAGAUGAUAAAAAUAAACAACUGGAAAAUUUUAAAAAAAUGGAUAUCAAAGAAAUAGAAAAAAUGAAAAUUCAAAAUGAGUUUGCUGCUGAAUCUAUUCAGAGGUGGAACAACAACAUUUUUAUAGUAAAACAAUGGAUUCAAAAUCGAACUGGUAAACCCGAAGAAAUAAUUGAUAGACUACUAGGAAUGUAAUAAAAAAAAAAAAAAAAAAAUAUCAAUUUAUGUAUAAUAUAAUUAACUUUCGUUAGUUAUUAUGUAAAACUAUAUAUUUAUGUAUACAUGUAUGAUAUAUAUUCAUUAUUCUUUAUCAUUUUUUUUAUAACUUUUUUUUUUUUUUUGUUUCACAGAAAAGAUAUAUUUAACAACUGUAAUUAAACGAGUUAAUUAUGCGUAUAUCAUUGAAACUUACUUUAUUUUUUGUAUACCUGUGCAUAUAUAAAAAAAAAAAAAAAAAAAAAAAAAAAACAUAAAUAUACACGAAUAAUCAUUAUUUUAUACUGGUACAUAUAUUAUUUUAUGACUUUAUUGUCUUAUGUCUACUCAUAUGAAACUUAACAUGUCAUUUAUGAUAAAGUUUAUAAAAUAAAAUAAAAAAAAUAAAAAAAGUAAAAAAUAAA